rnacentral:SRP_RNA from 1 species
GCCGGGCAUGGUGGCGCGUGCCUGUAGUCCCAGCUACUCGGGAGGCUGAGGCUGGAGAAUCGCUUGAGCCCAGGAGUUCUGGGCUGUAGUGCGCUAUGCCAAUCAGGUGUCCACACCAAGUUCAGCAUCAAUAUGGUGACCUCCCGGGAGCGGGGGACCACCAGGUUGCCUAAGGAGGGGUGAACCAGCCCAGGUCGGAAACGGAGCAGGUCAAAACUCCUGUGCUGAUCAGUAGUGGGAUCGCGCCUGUGAAUAGCCACUGCACCCCACACUCCAGCCUGGGCAACAUAGCGAGACCCCGUCUCUU